rnacentral:rRNA from 1 species
UGCCAGACUCCUACGGGAGGCAGCAGUGGGGAAUAUUGCACAAUGGGGGGAACCCUGAUGCAGCGACGCCGCGUGGGUGAAGGAGCACCUCGGUGCGUAAAGCCCUAUCGGCAGGGAAGAAAAGCGAACAGGUUCGCCUGGACGGUACCUGACUAAGAAGCCCCGGCUAACUACGUGCCAGCAGCCGCGGUAAUACGUAGGGGGCAAGCGUUAUCCGGAUUCACUGGGUGUAAAGGGAGCGUAGACGGCGACGCAAGUCUGGAGUGAAAGCCCGGGGCCCAACCCCGGGACUGCUCUGGAAACUGCGUGGCUGGAGUACGGGAGGGGCAGGCGGAAUUCCUGGUGUAGCGGUGAAAUGCGUAGAUAUCAGGAGGAACACCGGCGGCGAAGGCGGCCUGCUGGACCGUGACUGACGUUGAGGCUCGAGAGCGUGGGGAGCAAACAGGAUUAGAUACCCCUGUA